rnacentral:tRNA from 1 species
UCCUCGGUAGCUCAAUGGUAGAGCGUGCGGCUGUUAACCGCAGGGUUGCAGGUUCGAGUCCUGCCCGAGGAG